GGACGUGUAGUUUUCCCCGGCAGGACGGUAGAAAUCGUGGUUUGUGCGGGCCAAGCGCUGGAGCCUCCGCUGCCGGGAGCAAUCAGACCUUCCAGCUCCCUGGACCUGACCUUCCAGCUGCCUCUCAUGUACUCGUCGGGGGCUUGUGUUGAUAAGGAGUGAAUUCACAGUCUACCAUGAAUUGGAAGGUUCUUGAGCACAUGCCCCUGCUGCUAUAUAUCCUGGCAGCAAAAACAUUAAUUCUCUGCCUGGCAUUUGCUGGAGUGAAAAUAUACCAAAGAAAAAGGUUGGAAGCAAAACAACAAAAACUGGAGGCUGAAAGGAAGAAGCAAUCAGAGAAAAAAGAUAACUGAAGAUUCUGCCAUGUAAAUGUCAGCUUGAGUGGACUCCAGCUGAGAAGAAAGAGAAAAAAGACUUAAUUAUUGAAUAAUUUGUCAGAGGAUAAACUCCCAACCUAGACCUUUCACUUAAAAUAGUGUGAAUUUGUAUAUAUUUUUAAAAGAACCAGUACUGGCCCGGUAUGCUGGCUCUUACCUGAAAUCCCAGCACUUUGGGAGGCCGAGCCUCUGCCAAGCCAAGCAGCCAGCUCCUAGGACUCCCCUCCCUCCACCUGAGGCUCCUUGUCCUCCCUUCCUCGGGAGUCUCCAGCCUCCCGGGGCUUCCCCUCCCUGCUGCCCGCUCCAGCAGAGGCUGCCAACCGCCUGGGAGAGAGAAGUGGGCUUCCUGGGGCCACCUCCCCAACUUUGGAGUGUUCGGAAGGUGAUGGAGUGACCACCAGGGGGCAGUGUGAACAGGUCUCCAUAAGACUGAUCAGCUCCUGGUUUGUUAAGGCAAACCCCCAUCUCUGGCUUCUCCUGGGACCUCACCUGGGAAAGAAGGAGGCAGCCCCAGAGCUGGAAGCUGCUUCAGGGCUCACCCGGAACAGCAGACUCAACCUGGGCCCAUCCAGGCAUCUCCUGGGAGCUUCACACAAUUGCUUCUGCCUGGCACCAGCUCAGAGGUUCUGACAGAAUUGGCCUGGGGUGAGGCCUGGCAUCCAUGGGAUUUUUACAAGCUUCCAGGUGAUUCUACAGGGAAGCCAAGGAGAUGCGUCCUUCAUAAAACUCUCAUCAACACUGUUCAGACGUGUCCCACCCCAGCAGGGGACAGCCUAGGCUCAAGCUGGGAUCCCUACUUUAUUUAUUUUCUGCUAAUUAAACUUCCUAAUAUACUCCACACUAAGUGUGUUUGCAAGGCAGG